AUUAUUUUUUCAUUUUUUUAAGUUUUUAUGAUAGCUUAUUAUUAUUGUUAAUUUAGAAAUCGCAACCUAAUAAACACUCUUCUCAUCGACCCUUCUGUCUAUCUCUGCUAAUCUGCAAUGAAUCUCCGACGAAUCUCCAGCAAAUUCCAAUGCAUCAGGUCGGGUUCAGAUUAGCUCUACCCUUCUUUUCGUUUCAUCACUUUCCAUCAUAAUCUCAUAUCUUAUUUUCUUUUGUUGGCCCUUCCAUCCAACUCUGCUAAUCUCUGAUGAAUCUCCGGCAAAUUCAGGUGCAUUAGAUUGUGUCCACGGCGGCGACAGUGGGGAGAACUACACCGUCAUUUCAAACGGCACCAUAGGAAUAGGAUGGAGGCCAGUAAUUGAACCUCUUGAAAAUGGAGUAAGAGGGAUGACGUUGGCUGAUCAUUAUGAAGUUUAUUUCAAGGGAAUGCCAAUGUUUAAAGGAGUCACAAGUCCUGUUGAAAUUGAGUGCGUGCGCGAUCGUGCUGAUGAAAGCAGCGUGCAUCACUUUUUACAAGUUUUCUAUUCUUAUUAAAGCUCAUAAAACGUAGGCUUUGGAUGAUCCUAUCGUAGCUGCCUCAGAACUAGAUCAGAAGAAUGCCUUGACUCUGGCUGUUGCUUUAGUUUUGGCAAACACAGCCAGUCUCGACUGCAAAGUAAGGGUAGAAUGUCAAAGAAUGCUUAUUAUUUGGAUUCUCCAAUAAAGCAAAUAAAAGCAUAUUUAAUCUAUUAUUCAAGUUGUUUGGAGCUGAAAGGUGUAAACAAGGCAGAAUAACUCAAAUGACAUUCGUAAGCCAUCUUUUCAAUGUUUGAUCUUUUCAAUAAGAAGAAGCAACAAAUUAUGUAAUAAGAGAAAAUUAAGGAAAUGGUAUUAUUAUAUAAUUCAGUAA